AGUGAACGCUGGCGGUAGGCCUAACACAUGCAAGUCGAACGGCAGCACAGUAAGAGCUUGCUCUUACGGGUGGCGAGUGGCGGACGGGUGAGGAAUACAUCGGAAUCUACUUUUUCGUGGGGGAUAACGUAGGGAAACUUACGCUAAUACCGCAUACGACCUACGGGUGAAAGCAGGGGAUCUUCGGACCUUGCGCGAUUGAAUGAGCCGAUGUCGGAUUAGCUAGUUGGCGGGGUAAAGGCCCACCAAGGCGACGAUCCGUAGCUGGUCUGAGAGGAUGACCAGCCACACUGGAACUGAGACACGGUCCAGACUCCUACGGGAGGCAGCAGUGGGGAAUAUUGGACAAUGGGCGCAAGCCUGAUCCAGCCAUCCCGCGUGGGUGAAGAAGGCCUUCGGGUUGUAAAGCCCUUUUGUUGGGAAAGAAAAGCAGCAGGUUAAUACCCCGCUGUUCUGACGGUACCCAAAGAAUAAGCACCGGCUAACUUCGUG
rnacentral:rRNA from 1 species